GACCAUGAGAGAAGCGUGGAGCCGGCGCCGAGCGGAGAGGGACUCGCCGCUGCCGUCGCGCGCCGCCGUGUGCCGUCACCACUGUCUGAACAGUCACCGUCGCCUUGGGUGGAGUCCGCCGCUGUCGCCAGUGGAGGCCACUGCUGUGGAACGGACGUGUGAGAGGGAAGCAAGAUGAAUCCCCUCUGCUUCUGGUGCUCUGGUCAGCCGCUGCCACCGCCGGAAUCCUUGGGCGCCACCGUUGUUCUUGUUGCCAUUAAAGGAAGCUAGCUGCCGCCGCCAUUUAGAUCUGCUACGGUCUCUGUCGGAAGCCACCAUGGGAGCCGUGGAAUGAGGGGUUUCUGCCACCUUUGAAACUCCAUUGCUGUUGUUGUCAUGGCCGCCAUGCCAUUGGCUGCCGGGAUCGGUAUUGUGGCCGCCAGAAACCGUCUUUUCUUGGGUUGAGUUCCGAUAAAUGUGCGUCGAAACUAAGGUUGUUGUUGAGCCACCGGAGCUUUUUGCUGCUACGGGGCUGUUGUCGGGUCGGUUCGGUAUCGCAGCUGUUCCUUUGUAUUAUUUUGGUAAGUAAGUAUAUUUUGAAGAGCCUCGCGUUAGUAUUUUGUUGUGUAUGGUUAAUGAAUAUGAGUUCUGAUAGCGUGGGGUCGAGUCCUGAUUAUUGUAUGUUGCAAUUAGUGUCGCUAUGGUUAUUGCGGAUGUGGCUUGAAGCUGAGGUUGCGGUUGUUGAUGAUUUUGGGUUGAGGCGGAAAGGACUCUGUGACGCGUUUGAGUUAUGGAAUUUGCGUUUUGAGGAUAUGGGCGCAGAAGUCACGAAGAGUUUAUUUAGUUGUUGUUGA